rnacentral:rRNA from 1 species
GAUGAACGCUGGCGGCGUGCCUAAUACAUGCAAGUCGAGCGAACGGACGAUAAGCUUGCUUCUCUGAUGUUAGCGGCGGACGGGUGAGUAACACGUGGAUAACCUACCUAUAAGACUGGGAUAACUUCGGGAAACCGGAGCUAAUACCGGAUAAUAUUUUGAACCGCAUUGUUCAAAAGUGAAAGACGGUCUUGCUGUCACUUAUAGAUGGAUCCGCGCUGCAUUAGCUAGUUGGUAAGGUAACGGCUUACCAAGGCAACGAUGCAUAGCCGACCUGAGGGGGUGAUCGGCCACACUGGAACUGAGACACGGUCCAGACUACUACGGGAGGCAGCAGUAGGGAAUCUUCCGCAAUGGGCGAAAGCAUGACGGAGCAACGCCGAGUGAGUGAUGACGGUCUUCGGAUCGUAAAACUCUGUUAUUAGGGAAGAACAUCUGUGUAAGUAACUGUGCACAUCUUGACGGUACCUAAUAAGAAAGCAACGGCUAACUACGUG